AAGCUCCGGUAUCCAUUUCUGGCGUAUACGAGGCAGCCUGCUUUGUUGUCGGACUGUCCAAGACCUACUCAUGAAAACAUAGUAUAAGAGUCUCUCUCCGAAUCGUUUCAAGAGUUAACAUAUACAUACUAUAUACUAAUUUUAAGUACUCAAACCAUGACACAAUAGAAAAAUACAAAAAAAAAAAUACUUUAGAGUAAAGAGACUAUGUUAAAGUAAAGAAAACAAUUUUAUGCAAACAAGUUUUAAUUCCCAAUUUGAUCAACUGUGAAAUUUGGUUAACCGGG
rnacentral:lncRNA from 1 species